UACGGAGGGUGCAAGCGUUAUCCGGAUUCACUGGGUUUAAAGGGUGCGUAGGAGGGCAGGUAAGUCAGUGGUGAAAUCUCCAAGCUUAACUUGGAAACUGCCGUUGAUACUAUCUGUCUUGAAUACCGUGGAGGUGAGCGGAAUAUGUCAUGUAGCGGUGAAAUGCUUAGAUAUGACAUAGAACACCCAUUGCGAAGGCAGCUCGCUACACUAUCAUUGACACUGAGGCACGAAAGCGUGGGUAGCGAACAGG
rnacentral:rRNA from 1 species